rnacentral:rRNA from 1 species
UUUAUUGGGUUUAAAGGGUGCGUAGGCGGCUUAUUAAGUCAGUGGUGAAAGCCAACAGCUCAACUGUUGAACUGCCAUUGAUACUGCUGGUCUAGAGUACAAUUGAUGUGGGCGGAAUGUGUCGUGUAGCGGUGAAAUGCUUAGAUAUGACACAGAACACCGAUUGCGAAGGCAGCUCACAAAACUGUAACUGACGCUGAGGCACGAAAGUGUGGGGAUCGAAC